GACAGCAUGUCGGCACGGACGGACGGAGACUCGCGGUCAGCCAGUCAUCAUUGGCGUCCACCGUAGUUGGAAAAGAGCUGCACUCCCACUCCACCGCCGUCCUCCACUGAAUCGAGUGGCUCCUCCUCCUUCCCCACUCCCCACUCAACUCCGGGCCGCGCUGCCUGGACCGGAGGAUACAUCGGCGAACCAGCCGCAGGGGAGCAGAGCCAGCGCCGGUGCCCGGCGGCGACGUGCCGGGGAGCAGCGGAGGUCGCGCGCCGGCGAGGCCAUCGUCUUCCGCUUCCGGAGGCGGAGAGGUUUGUGGUGGAUAAGUCCCAAUCCGUAAUCCAGUGGUAAGUCCUUAGAUUUUUCUUUUUUUUUGCGGGCCAGAUUCUGCAUUCAGCUCGAACAGGUUGUUUUGGAUUUUGCUGACGCUAAACAGCAUGUUGAAUUGAGAAUUUUUGGGGUGCCUGUCAAAAUUCAGAGAUACCAAAACAACACUGUAUUUCGGUUUUGACUUGGAGUAGACCACCUAAACUUCCAGCUUAAUCAUGUUUUGACCUGGAAUAGACUUUGAACAUUUUAAUUGACAUCUGAACUUUGAAAUCUAGACCAUUUAGAUCUCUUAUAAUAAUCGUGACAUCUGAACUGUGAAACUUCCUGCUUAUUCGUGACAUGUGAACUUUGAAAUUUAGAGCAUUUAGAUCUCUUAUUAUUAAUUGACUAACGCACACUUCUCUGAUGCUUACAUGCCUUUAAUUUUGCCGCGGGAUUUUCAGAACAUGAUCACCAAAGCUGCUCAAAUGGCUGGUGGUGUUCCUUUCCUUAGAAUAAUCCAAGGCACUUCGUUGAUCAACCGAGGAUCAAGCAAUCUCACAAGCACGACAUCGAUAUUUGUUAACGAGGUUCACCGAUAUGGCUACAUCCCCGGGGCCUGACUACGGACGCUACUCUCCGUGACACCGUCACAAUACCGCACCUCGGUCGCCCGAUCGCGGGCACACGUCGUCGGCUCCCCCGCGCACUCGUGCUAUUAUGUUGGCAUAGGUUACAUCGUGUGUCUACCCCCGCUAUAUAUGAGAGGCCUAUGAUACAAGUGUCCUACCAAGACACGACUUUA